AUGCAGAAGGCUGCCAAGGCCAGUGCCAGGCUCCAAGCCAUGCUGACCUCCACCACGGCCCCGUCGGUCUUCCCGCUGUCCCCCAAAUGUGGCGCCACAUCCGGCUCCAUGGUGUCCCUGGGCUGCCUGGUCUCUGGCUACUUCCCGGAGCCCGUGACUGUGUCCUGGAACUCGGGCGCCCUGACCAGCGGGGUGCACACCUUCCCAUCUGUCUUCCGCGCGGGCCUCUACUCUCUGAGCAGCAUGGUGACGGUGCCCACCAGCUCGGCCGGCCAGACCUUCACCUGCAACGUAGCCCACCCGGCCAGCGAAACCAAGGUGGACAAGAUCGUGUCCCUAACUGGACCCACCACCACCCCCUGCACGUGCCCACCUUGUGAGACCCUGGGAGGGCCUGCAGUCUUCAUCUUCCCCCCGAAACCCAAGGACACCCUCAUGAUCUCCCGGACGCCUGAGGUCACGUGCCUGGUGGUGGACGUGGCCCCGGAAGACCUGGACGUCGAGUUCACCUGGUACAUGGACGGCGCGCAUGUGAGAACGGAGAAGGUGACGGCGCAGCAGCAGCAGUUCAAUAGCACCUACCGCGUGGUCAACUCCCUCGCCAUCAUGCACCAGGACUGGCUGAAGGGCAAGGAGUUCAAGUGCAAGGUCAACAACAAUGCCAUCCCGGCCCCCGUCGAGAGGACCAUCUCCAAGGCUAGAGGGCAACUCCGGGAGCCGCAGGUGUACGUCCUGGGCCCACACGCGGACGAGAUGGCCAAGGACAAGGUCAGUGUGACCUGCCUGGUCAAGGACUUCUUCCCGCCGGACAUCAGCGUGGAGUGGCAGAGCAACGGGCGGCCGGAGCCCGAGACCAAGUACUCCUCGACCCCGCCCCAGAAGGACCAGGAGGGCGCCUUCUUCCUGUACAGCAAGCUCUCCGUGGACAAGGCCCGGUGGCAGCGGGGGGACCCCUUCAUGUGCGAGGUGAUGCACGAGGCCCUGCACAACCACUACGCCCAGAAGUCCGUCUCCCGGAGCCCGGAGCCGCUGCUCCUGGACGAGAGCUGUGCCGAGGCCCAGGACGGGGAGCUGGACGGGCUGUGGACCACCAUCUCCAUCUUCAUCACCCUCUUCCUGCUCAGCGUGUGCUACAGCGCCACCGUCACGCUCUUCAAGGUGAAGUGGAUCUUCUCCUCGGUGGCCGACCUGAAGAGGACCAUCGUCCCCGACUACAGGAACAUGAUCGGACAAGGGGCUUAG